rnacentral:rRNA from 1 species
GUGGUAAUGCCGGAUGCUCCGACAUGACGCAUGUCGUGUCGGGAAAGAUUCAUCGGUAUGGGAUGGGGUCGCGUCCUAUCAGCUUGAUGGCGGGGUAACGGCCCACCAUGGCUUCGACGGGUAGCCGGCCUGAGAGGGCGACCGGCCACAUUGGGACUGAGAUACGGCCCAGACUCCUACGGGAGGCAGCAGUGGGGAAUAUUGCACAAUGGGCGCAAGCCUGAUGCAGCGACGCCGCGUGCGGGAUGACGGCCUUCGGGUUGUAAACCGCUUUUGACUGGGAGCAAGCCCUUCGGGGUGAGUGUACCUUUCGAAUAAGCACCGGCUAACUACGUGCCAGCAGCCGCGGUAAUACGUAGGGUGCAAGCGUUAUCCGGAAUUAUUGGGCGUAAAGGGCUCGUAGGCGGUUCGUCGCGUCCGGUGUGAAAGUCCAUCGCUUAACGGUGGAUCCGCGCCGGGUACGGGCGGGCUUGAGUGCGGUAGGGGAGACUGGAAUUCCCGGUGUAACGGUGGAAUGUGUAGAUAUC